AUUCCCCUAGUACGGCGAGUGAAGCGGGAAGAGCUCAAAUUUAAAAUCUGGCAGGCUACGCUUGUCCGAAUUGUAAUCUCGAGAAGUGUUUUCCGCGUUGGCCUGUGUACAAGUCCCUUGGAACAGGGCGUCAUAGAGGGUGAGAAUCCCGUCCUUGACACAGACACCCAAUGCUUUGUGAUACACUCUCAAUGAGUCGAGUUGUUUGGGAAUGCAGCUCAAAAUGGGUGGUAAAUUCCAUCUAAAGCUAAAUACUGGCGAGAGACCGAUAGCGAACAAGUACCGUGAGGGAAAGAUGAAAAGCACUUUGGAAAGAGAGUCAAACAGUACGUGAAAUUGUUGAAAGGGAAACGAUUGAAGUCAGUCGUGCCUGCCUAGUCUCAGCCUUUUGGUGUACUACUAGGUCGGCAGGUCAGCAUCAGUUUGGGAGGAUUAACAAGGGAGCUAGGAAUGUGGCAACCUCGGUUGUGUUAUAGCCUAGUUUCGCAUUGAUCUUGCUGGACUGAGGAACGCAGUGCGCCCGCAAGGGUUGGUCUUCGGACACAUUCGCACUUAGGAUGCUGGCAUAAUG
rnacentral:rRNA from 1 species